UACGUAGGGUGCAAGCGUUGUCCGGAAUUAUUGGGCGUAAAGAGCUCGUAGGCGGUCUGUCGCGUCUGGUGUGAAAAUCCAGGGCUUAACCCUGGACCUGCAUCGGGUACGGGCAGACUAGAGUGCGGUAGGGGAGAUCGGAAUUCCGUGGUGUAGCGGUGAAAUGCGCAGAUAUCAGGAAGAACACCCGUGGCUAAGGCGGCUCUCUAGUACGGUACUGACGCUGAGACGCGAAAGCGUGGGGAGCGAACAGG
rnacentral:rRNA from 1 species